rnacentral:rRNA from 1 species
AGCGAACGCUGGCGGCAGGCCUAACACAUGCAAGUCGAACGAACUCUUCGGAGUUAGUGGCGGACGGGUGAGUAACACGUGGGAACGUGCCUUUAGGCUCGGAAUAACUCAGGGAAACUUGUGCUAAUACCGAAUGUGCCCUUCGGGGGAAAGAUUUAUCGCCUUUAGAGCGGCCCGCGUCUGAUUAGCUAGUUGGUGAGGUAAAGGCUCACCGAGGCGACGAUCAGUAGCUGGUCUGAGAGGAUGAUCAGCCACAUUGGGACUGAGACACGGCCCAAACUCCUACGGGAGGCAGCAGUGGGGAAUCUUGCGCAAUGGGCGAAAGCCUGACGCAGCCAUGCCGCGUGAAUGAUGAAGGUCUUAGGAUUGUAAAAUUCUUUCACCGGGGACGAUAAUGACGGUACCCGGAGAAGAAGCCCCGGCUAACUUCGUGCCAGCCGCCGCCGUAA